AGUCGAGCGCACCUUCGGGUGAGCGGCGGACGGGUUAGUAACGCGUGGGAACAUACCCUUUGGUACGGAAUAGCCUCUGGAAACGGAGAGUAAUACCGUAUGAGCCCUUCGGGGGAAAGAUUUAUCGCCAAAGGAUUGGCCCGCGUUAGAUUAGGUAGUUGGUGGGGUAAUGGCCUACCAAGCCUACGAUCUAUAGCUGGUUUUAGAGGAUGAUCAGCAACACUGGGACUGAGACACGGCCCAGACUCCUACGGGAGGCAGCAGUGGGGAAUCUUGGACAAUGGGGGCAACCCUGAUCCAGCCAUGCCGCGUGAGUGAUGAAGGCCUUAGGGUCGUAAAGCUCUUUCGCCUGUGAAGAUAAUGACGGUAGCAGGUAAAGAAACCCCGGCUAACUCCGUGCCAGCAGCCGCGGUAAUACGGAGGGGGUUAGCGUUGUUCGGAAUUACUGGGCGUAAAGCGCACGUAGGCGGACUGGAAAGUUGGGGGUGAAAUCCCAGGGCUCAACCCUGGAACUGCCUCCAAAACUAUCAGUCUAGAGUUCGAGAGAGGUGAGUGGAAUUCCGAGUGUAGAGGUGAAAUUCGUAGAUAUUCGGAGGAACACCAGUGGCGAAGGCGGCUCACUGGCUCGAUACUGACGCUGAGGUGCGAAAGUGUGGGGAGCAAACAGGAUUAGAUACCCUGGUAGUCCACACCGUAAACGAUGAAUGCCAGUCGUCGGGUAGCAUGCUAUUCGGUGACACACCUAACGGAUUAAGCAUUCCGCCUGGGGAGUACGGUCGCAAGAUUAAAACUCAAAGGAAUUGACGGGGGGCCCGCACAAGCGGUGGAGCAUGUGGUUUAA
rnacentral:rRNA from 1 species